UUUCCGUAGGUGAACCUGCGGAAGGAUCAUUGUCGAAACCUGCAAAAGCAGACCGUGAACACGUUCAACAACACUGGGAUCGUGGCAGGGGCAACCUUGCACCGCGAUCCCUCCCCGCGCGCACUCUCUGCGGGCUAACGAACCCCGGCGCGGCAUGCGCCAAGGAAAACUCACAGUGGCGUCCGCCUCCCGUUGCCCCGUCCGCGGCGAGCGAUGGGGGACGACUCUCAAUGUCAAAACGACUCUCGGCAACGGAUAUCUCGGCUCUCGCAUCGAUGAAGAACGUAGCGAAAUGCGAUACUUGGUGUGAAUUGCAGAAUCCCGUGAACCAUCGAGUCUUUGAACGCAAGUUGCGCCCGAAGCCAUUCGGCCAAGGGCACGUCUGCCUGGGCGCCACGCAUCGUGUCGCCCCCCCACUCAUCCCCGGAAAAUGGCCUCCCGUGCGCAUCGACCUGCGGCCGGCCCAAAUGCGAUCCCGCGGCGACUCGCGUCACGACCAGUGGUGGUUGAACUCUCAACUCGCGUGCUGUCGUGGCGGCGUCGCCGUUGUGGUUCAAACGUAGACCCAACGGCACGGGGUGCUCGUGCCUUCGAACGCGACCCCAGGUCAGGCGGGAUCACCCGCUGAGUUUAA
rnacentral:rRNA from 1 species